rnacentral:rRNA from 1 species
CCUACGGUGCGCUGCAGUGAGGAAUAUUGGUCAAUGGACGCAAGUCUGAACCAGCCAUGCCGCGUGCAGGAAGACGGCUCUAUGAGUUGUAAACUGCUUUUGUACGAGGGUAAACGCAGAUACGCGUAUCUGUCUGAAAGUAUCGUACGAAUAAGGAUCGGCUAACUCCGUGCCAGCAGCCGCGGUAAUACGGAGGAUUCAAGCGUUAUCCGGAAUUAUUGGGUUGAAAGGGUGCGUAGGCGGUCGGAUAAGUUAGAGGUGAAAUCCCGAGGCUCAACUUCGGAAUUGCCUCUGAUACUGUUCGGCUAGAGAGUAGGUGCGGUAGGCGGAAUGUAUGGUGUAGCGGUGAAAUGCUUAGAGAUCAUACAGAACACCGAUUGCGAAGGCAGCUUACCAAGCUACUUCUGACGUUGAGGCACGAAGGCGUGGGGAGCAAACGGGAUUAGAUACCCGGGUAGUC